GACGAACGCUGGCGGCGUGCUUAACACAUGCAAGUCGAACGGAAAGGCGCUGCGUUUGUUGCUUUCUCGUUUGCCGAACGGGGGAGUAACACACGAGUAUACUCCCCUUGUCUGUGGGGGAACAUCAGGAAACUCGGGCUCAUAUCCGAGAGGAUAUCCUGCAGCGUGGGGGGGGUUGGAAAGUGUCGGCGGUUGGGGAUGGAUUGGCGGCUUAUCAGCUUGUUAGUGGGGUAGUGGCUGACCAAGGGUUUGACGGGUAGCCGGCAUGAGAGGGUGACCGGCGACAUUGGGACUGAGAUAGGGACCAGAAUCCUACGGGAGGCAGCAGUCGGGAAUAUUGCACAAUGGGCGGAAGCGUGAUGCAGCAACGCCGCGUGCGGGAUGCCGGGCUUCGGGUUGUAAACCGCUUUCGCCUGUGACGAAGAGUGAGUGACGGUAAUGGGUCAAGAAGCACCGGCUAACUACGUG
rnacentral:rRNA from 1 species